AAUAUGUGACAAUGGGGGCAACCCUGAUCCAGCCAUGCAGCGUGUGGGAAGAAGGUUUNCGGAUUNUNAAGCACUUUAAGUUGGGNGGAAGGGCUUUAGGUUAAUACCCUGAAGUUUUGACGUUACCAACAGAAUAAGCACCGGCUAACUCUGCGCCAUCAGCCGCGGUAAUACAGAGGGUGCAAGCGUUAAUCGGAAUUAUUGGGCGUAAGGCGCGCGUGGGUGGUUCAGUAAGAUGGGUGUGAAAUCCCCGGGCUUAACCUUGGAACUGCUUUCAUAACUGCUGAGCUAGAGUACGGUAGAGGGUAGUGGAAUUUCCUGUGUAGCGGUGAAAUGCGUAGAUAUAGGAAGGAACACCAGUGGCGAAGGCGACUACCUGGACUGAUACUGACACUGAGGUGCGAAAGCGUGGGGAGCAAAC
rnacentral:rRNA from 1 species